rnacentral:rRNA from 1 species
AUUGAACGCUGGCGGCAGGCCUAACACAUGCAAGUCGAACGGCAGCACAGAAGAGCUUGCUCUUUGGGUGGCGAGUGGCGGACGGGUGAGUAAUGUCUGGGAAACUGCCCGAUGGAGGGGGAUAACUACUGGAAACGGUAGCUAAUACCGCAUAACGUCGCAAGACCAAAGUGGGGGACCUUCGGGCCUCACACCAUCGGAUGUGCCCAGAUGGGAUUAGCUAGUAGGUGGGGUAAUGGCUCACCUAGGCGACGAUCCCUAGCUGGUCUGAGGGGAUGACCAGCCACACUGGAACUGAGAAACGGUCCAGACUCCUACGGGAGGCAGCAGGGGGGAAUAUUGCACAAUGGGCGCAAGCCUGAUGCAGCCAUGCCGCGUGUAUGAAGAAGGCCUUCGGGUUGUAAAGUACUUUCAGCGGGGAGGAAGGCGGUGAGGUUAAUAACCUCGCCGAUUGACGUUACCCGCAGAAGAAGCACCGGCUAACUCCGUGCCAGCCGCCGCAGUAAAAC